rnacentral:rRNA from 1 species
GCUCACGGCCAUACCAGCCUGGGUACGCCCGAUCUCGUCUGAUCUCGGAAGCUAAGCAGGGUCGGGCCUGGUUAGUACUUGGAUGGGAGACCGCCUGGGUAUACCAGGUGCUGUAAGCA